rnacentral:rRNA from 1 species
AGAGUUUGAUCAUGGCUCAGAACGAACGCUGGCGGCAUGCCUAACACAUGCAAGUCGAACGUGAUCUGUUCCUUCGGGGAUGGUGAAAGUGGCAGACGGGUGAGUAACGCGUGGGAACCUGCCCCAAGGUAGGGAAUAACCGCGGGAAACUGCGGCUAAUACCCUAUGUGCCCUACGGGGCAAAGAUUUAUCGCCUUGGGAGGGGCCCGCGUCGGAUUAGGUAGUUGGUAGGGUAACGGCCUACCAAGCCUACGAUCCGUAGCUGGUCUGAGAGGAUGAUCAGCCACACUGGGACUGAGAUACGGCCCAGACUCCUACGGGAGGCAGCAGUGGGGAAUAUUGGACAAUGGGGGCAACCCUGAUCCAGCAAUGCCGCGUGAGUGAUGAAGGCCUUCGGGUUGUAAAGCUCUUUCGGCGGGGAAGAUGAUGACGGUACCCGCAGAAGAAGCCCCGGCUAACUUCGUGCCAGCAGCCGCGGUAAUACGAAGGGGGCUAGCGUUGUUCGGAAUUACUGGGCGUAAAGGGCGCGUAGGCUGUGCUGUAAGUCAGGCGUGAAAUCCCCGGGCUCAACCUGGGAAUUGCGCAUGAUACUGCGGCGCUGGAAGGCGGGAGAGGAUGGCGGAAUUCCCAGUGUAGAGGUGAAAUUCGUAGAUAUUGGGAAGAACACCGGGCGAAGGCGGCCAUCUGGCCCGCAAUUGACGCUGAGGCGCGAAAGCGUGGGGAGCAAACAGGAUUAGAUACCCCAGUAGUCC